rnacentral:rRNA from 1 species
UGGGGAAUAUUGGACAAUGGGCGAAAGCCUGAUCCAGCCAUGCCGCGUGUGUGAAGAAGGUCUUCGGAUUGUAAAGCACUUUAAGUUGGGAGGAAGGGCAGUUACCUAAUACGUGAUUGUUUUGACGUUACCGACAGAAUAAGCACCGGCUAACUCUGUGCCAGCAGCCGCGGUAAUACAGAGGGUGCAAGCGUUAAUCGGAAUUACUGGGCGUAAAGCGCGCGUAGGUGGUUAGUUAAGUUGGAUGUGAAAUCCCCGGGCUCAACCUGGGAACUGCAUUCAAAACUGACUGACUAGAGUAUGGUAGAGGGUGGUGGAAUUUCCUGUGUAGCGGUGAAAUGCGUAGAUAUAGGAAGGAACACCAGUGGCGAAGGCGACCACCUGGACUGAUACUGACACUGAGGUGCGAAAGCGUGGGGAGCAAACAGGAUUAGAUACCCAGGUAGUCCCUGAGCGGGCUGGCAAGGCGCAU